GAGAGUAAGUCGUGCCGGUGGCGAUCGCGGACUUCAAAUCCGAUGAAAGGGCGGUUGACCGUUCUUUGGGGGGUUCGAUUCCCUCACUCUCUC
rnacentral:tRNA from 24 species